AACGUAGGUACCGGGCGUUAUCCGGAUUCACUGGGCGUAAAGCGCGUGCAGGUGGUAUGGUAAGUCGGGCAUGAAAACUCUUGGCUCAACUGAGAGACGCUGUCCGAUACUGCCGAACUUGAGGGUGUAAGAGGGAGGUGGAAUUCCGCAUGUAGUGGUGAAAUGCGUAGAUAUGCGGAGGAACACCAGUGGCGAAGGCGGCCUCCUGGUACACUCCUGACACUCAGACGCGAAAGCUAGGGGAGCGAACGGG
rnacentral:rRNA from 1 species